rnacentral:misc_RNA from 1 species
UUAAGUUCAGCGGGUAGUCCUACCUGAUUUGAGGUCAAAUGACAUGCACCAUGGUUAUAUGCGCAUGUUAUUGUCUUGCGACGGUUAGAAGCAGUCUCGACUCGAUCGGUAAACAAUGCUUAAGUUUUAAUUUAUCACAUUGUGUGUGAUCGAGGCAGAUCGCUAAUGCAUUUAGGGUGAGUCGAAGCUCGCGCUUCAAC